UCCGCGAGAGCGAUCUCUCGUCGGCUGACGAGCACGAGUGCCCACCGUCUCGGUACCGAUGGAGAUCGAUCUCUCGGUACCGAUCGGCAACGAGAGGGAACGUAGGGAGAGGUCGAGAGAGAGAGAUUAGAAGAGAUUAGGGGGCAUUCGGGUCCGCGACGCGUUCGGAGCAACAGCUCACCAUCUUCCCGCGUAUACGUGUAAAACACAUAAUAGGAAUAAAUAUUUUAAUAUAAUAGAACAUAAAAUUUUUGUUGGGCACACAUUUGGGGCUAUUAUUAUCAGUUUUCUUAGGAACAUCCAAGACAGACAUAUUUGGUACACCGGUCAAAGAUAGCAUCGACAGAUUAAUUCGACAUGGAAACACUAAUUGGUUCAUAUAAAAAUAAAAAAAACCAAUACAAGCAACGGAAAAGGUAUUGCACCUGAUCCAGCUGGUUGGAACAUAUCCAUGUCUGUGGAAGGAUUCCGAGCGGCAGUAUAAAAACCACGAAAUACGCCACCAGGCUUAGCGAGAAAUUGGAGCAGCGCUAGACGAAAAAACAGAGGACGCCCAGGAAAAAUGGAAAAACCUGAUGAACACCUACAGACGCACCAAAAAAGAAAUUGCACGAAGCCAAACAACCGGCUCCAUACACUUUCCCGCUCCAGGAAGAUAUCGGUCAUCCAGCAGCGCCUUUCGAUUUCCUGUUGAUUUUCUUCUUCCUCCUCUUCAAUAAGAAGCAUCAUUAAAGUGGCCACUUCAGAAGCAAUAGCUGGUAGAAGUUGAGUUUGAUCAAUUUUAUUGUCGUCCUUAACAAAACAAUAAAACUAUGGAGCAAAGCACAAACCAA